AGCACGUGGACUAGAGACCAGAGUGCCGUCCAGACCGUCCAAAGGCACACGGGCUUUCUCUAGGUCCAGGGAUUCGCUGGGAUGUGUGGAGGGCUCUGUUGUUUGGGAUUUGGGGGGAUGUUUUUUGGAAUCGUUAUCAAAUGUUAUUUUAGCCAUUUCAGGUAUAUUAAACCUUCUCAUGAAAACUGCAGUUACUGUCUGAGCAUGGUCAGUAUCCAUGAUUUCACUCCUAUGCAGAUGGGGCCAGCACUGCGUGGCCAGUCUUCCUAACGAGGCCCAUAGCGAGAAAUUUGGCUGUCCGCAAAGCUACACCCUCAGGUUGUGAGCCCGUGUUUUCCCAGGCUGUCGGGCUGCAGCAGAGACUGCUUUCUCAGCUGCUCACACAGGAUUGGAAGGGGCACAGCAAGGAGAGAGAGGCACCAGCCCUCUGGGCCGGUGGGCCAGGCUGUCCAUAGCACUCUCUGGUCGUGACCUGGGGCUCAGGUUUGGAUUUUAACUACCUGUGUGACCUUCAACAAGAGGGUAGCGGUCUGGAGCAAAGUUCCCUAAGCCUCCACGGCAUGAGGUGGGGCCCGAGACUCCCCGGGGUGCCUUCCCGAUGGAGACUGAUGCAGAUGCCCACCUGGAAGAAGGAGCACCCGUGGUGGGGAAGCAGCAUCACAGUGCAGGUCUUGUUAAAGACGUGUGAACAGGGCUGGGUGCAGUGGCUCACGCCUGUAAUCCCAGCACUUUGGGAGGCCGAGGCAGGUGGAUCACGAGGUCAGCAGUUGGAGACCAGCCUGACCAACAUGGUGAAACCCCGUCUCUACUAAAAAUACAAAACAAUUAGCUAGGCGUGGUGGCGGGUGCCUGUAAUCCCAGCUACUUGAGAGGCUGAGGCAGGAGAAUUUCUUGAAACCGGAAGUCGGAGGUUGCAGUGAGCCAAGAUUGUGCCACUGCACUCUAGCCUGGGCAACAAGAGCAAAAAACUGUCUUUAAAAAACAAAAACAAAAACAAAAACGUGUGAACAGGGUCCUUUGGUUUUCUCUGCGUGGUGGCCUGCGCCUGGGCCAGCCUGGCUGGCACCUCUUGGGCUUGCCUUGCCACGCAGCUCUUGGUUCGGCAGCACCCAAGUCUCCUCGCAGCGCUAUGAAAUCAGCACGGGAAACCUGAGGGAAGGCCCACGGCAGCGGGAAGUGGUUAGGCAGAAAACAGCAUCCUGUGGGGCCUUUUUCUUAGGAUUCCUGAUCUCGCCCACCCCUUGCCCCUUCCAGUCAGGAGUUUACCAGGUUUUGAGAACUGCAGGGCCAGAGGCUUCCUUUCCCCGGCAAUGAGGUUUCAUGAUAUGAGGAGGCCGGGAAAGAUGUAUUCGAUGAUUUCUAUUCUAAGGCAUGAGCCAUGUUCUUAAAAACUCUUCUUCCUCCACGAGACCGUAGCGUAGGUUCGAGACACACCCUGUCAGUUUGUGGGACUUAAGUGGAUACUUGCAUUUGCUGAUUAAAAAUUGAAAGACGCUGU